UGGUGCUGUCAGCACUCUGGAAGGUACAGUAACAGUAAUGACAAAUGUUCCUUCUGAUUGUACAGGUGAUUCCCCAGGGGAAGAAGGCAAGAGCCUUCGUUGUCCCAAUGCUGUGUACUUACAGAGCCAUGGACUGCUAUUCCAGUCCCUCCAGUCCACGACCGAGGACGCCAAACUGGUAUUGCCAUACUGGCCGCCUCCCCAGCAAACUUAUAUAUUCCCAUGCUCCUGGGAACCAUUCAGGAGAAGAUGUCAGGAUGAUGACUUCUUAAGCAAGAGGAUUUGUGGAAUAUUAUGCAUAAGGAGAGAAGAAAGCUGAGGUGCCUGUCCAAGCCAAAGACACUUUGCAUCAUUUCGACUCUUCUAGAAAGAUUGUGGUGGAAAGGAAAAUUUCACAUUUCUUCCUCUCACUCACCUCCUUAAAACAGCACAUUAGGACCUUAUUAAAAAAAAAGAGUAUUUAAAAGUUCAUUAGCU
rnacentral:lncRNA from 1 species